rnacentral:rRNA from 1 species
AAUAUUGGACAAUGGGCGAAAGCCUGAUCCAGCCAUGCCGCGUGUGUGAAGUAGGUCUUCGGAUUGUAAAGCACUUUAAGUUGGGAGGAAGGGUUGUAGGUUAAUACCCAUCAAUUUUGACGUUACAUACAGAAUACGCACCGGCUCACUUCGUGCCAGCCGCCGCGGUAAUACGAAGGGUGCAAGCGUUAAUCGGAAUUACUGGGCGUAAAGCGCGCGUAGGUGGUUCGUUAAGUUGGAAGUGAAAGCCCCGGGCUUAACCUGGGAAUUGCUAUCAAAACUGACGAGCUAGAGUACGGUAGAUGGUAGUGGAAUUUCCUGUGUAGCGGUGAAAUGCGUAGAUAUAGGAAGGAACAUCAGUGGCAAAGGCGACUACCUGGACUGAUACUGACACUGAGGUGCGAAAGCGUGGGGAGCAAACAGG